rnacentral:lncRNA from 1 species
AUAUACAGAGUUCAGCUGCUAUACUAUCGGUAGCACGGGACCUCCCGUGAUACAAAGUUGUUUUCGAUGAUGCGGCUUCAAAAUCAACGAUUGGCUCCGUUAGACUUGAUCUACACUAUUAAAAGUAUUUGAAAACUAAAUUUUAUAAUUUUUCGACAUCAUUUGACUAGUGAUCAAAAGAUCUCAAAAUUGACCAUUUUAAUGGCCAAUGUGGCGUGUUUGUGAAUUUAACGGUGUAAAACAAUCCAAAUCUGAUGAAAAUUUUAUAGAAAAUUCUUUUCACUAUUUAGAGUAAGAUCAGUAUAUCUGAUCUUGAAUUUAAAUCUUUUAUCAUCAUUUUUUAUGAAAUUUUUAUUUUCAGCCGUUCAAUUUUAGACUAUUUGUUUGAUCGGUAAAUAAUAUCGAAAAAUUAUGAAAUUUAGUUUCCAAAUAUUUUUAAUAGUGUAGAUCAAGUCUAACGGAGCCGAUCAUCGAUUUGGAAGCUGCAUCAACAAAAACAACUUUGUAGCACGGGAGGUCCCAUACUACCGAUAGUAUAGUAGCCAGACUCUAUAUAUGUAUAUAUAUUC